rnacentral:SRP_RNA from 1 species
UUAGGGUAAGUCUUGUACGACCAGCUCCCUCUGAACUCCCCCAGGACUUGACCGUAGCAAGGGUAGGAGGUUGUAGCGGUGCGAUACAAAUCGCUUACCCU